rnacentral:rRNA from 1 species
UACGGGGGGGGCAAGCGUUGUUCGGAAUUACUGGGCGUAAAGGGCUCGUAGGUGGCCAACUAAGUCAGACGUGAAAUCCCUCGGCUUAACCGGGGAACUGCGUCUGAUACUGGAUGGCUUGAGUUUGGGAGAGGGAUGCGGAAUUCCAGGUGUAGCGGUGGAAUGCGUAGAUAUCUGGAGGAACACCGGUGGCGAAGGCGGCAUCCUGGACCAAUACUGACACUGAGGAGCGAAAGCCAGGGGAGCGAACGGG